UACGAAGGGGGCUAGCGUUGCUCGGAAUCACGUGGGCGUAAAGCGCACGUAGGCGGACUCAUUAAGUCGGGUGGUGAAAUCCUGGAGCUCAACUCCAGAACGUGCCUUCGAUACUGAGAGUCUCGAGUCCGAAGAGAGGUGAGUGGAACUGCGAGUGAGAGGUGAAAUUCGUAGAUAUUCGCAAGAACACCAGUGGCGAAAGGCG
rnacentral:rRNA from 1 species